AAAAAAAAAAAAAAAAAAAAAAAAAAAAACUUACAGCCCUUUUUUGUGGAAUUCU
rnacentral:ribozyme from 1 species